GCUGGAUUAGUUAAGUGGGAUAACUUCCGGCCUGUACCCGGACGUCAUGGGUUCGAUUCCCUUAUCCAGCUCC
rnacentral:tRNA from 1 species